CAGGGCAGAGACGUUUUGCUGUGAAGUUUUAAUGCCAGCAGCCAGUGUUAUAAUUUCCGAUGACUGUGUGUUGGGACUCUUAGCUUGUAGCCCUUGGAAGUUCCCAGGAACUCUCCCAGCACCUGGAGCCUGGAGCUCUCAUCCUUGGUUGUUUAUAGUCUCUCACCAUCUGUCCUCUCAGCUCUCUGCAGUUUCUGUCCCCAGCUUCUCCCUGGAACUCUUCAGCUCCCUUCCCUCUUCUUCCAGAGAAUCCCUGAUGGGAGAAUGAGUGUCAGCAUUUCAGCAUCGAUACCACGUGCCAAACUCUGACAGUAGGAGAGAAGGGAAAUGAUCAAUGACUCUUGUGCUCCUGGAAACCACCUUCGGGUAGGACCACAGUUGGACUUUCAUGAUCUAUGACACAGAAUGUGGACACAGUUCAGAAACAGGUUGCUUUCAAUUUCAGGUGUUCAUUGCAAAGAGUCAUUGGUCUGGUUCGAGGCCUCUGGUUUCUGCUACACUAUUGAUGCUGAGCCCUCACUGGAACUCCUCUUGGUUAUCCUGCUGUUACCCUGUGAUGUGGAAACCCUGCAGCUUUGGGUUUGUAGGACUGACUGGUCCCUUCACCUGCUCCAGCAGAUCACAAAUGGGAUGGAUGUUGAGGUGGGCCAACAUAUAACCCUGGUUCUGGGCCUGGAUAGUUGCAGGGUUGGUCAGCCUGCCAGCUCUCCCUUGUCCUCACCACCAGGGUGAGCUCUCCUGCAUUUUUGUGGUGUACCUUGCAGCUAUGAGUAAGGGGAGGGGCCAGUUCUGCCUGUCCUCAGGAUCUGAUCCCUCAUACCUACUCCUUCAGGGUCAGCUCUACUGUGUUUCCCAGGCCUGGUGUAGGGGUUACUCUCCCAGGUGCUGCAGCUGGGGAGGGGAAGGGACAGCUCUUCUAGUCUUAUGAGGUCAGGGCCAGCUCUCCUACAUACCUCAGGAGUUGAUGGGAAGGUGGGGAGGGCAUCUUUCUGCUGCCCAUGCUGCCACAUGACAGAUGAGUAAUAGGGACAGCUCUCCCAUGCUCACAACUUUGGGGCUUGCUCACCCACACCUCUGCCAACAGGGUUGGCUCUAUCAUGCUGCCCUGGUGAGGUGCAAGGCCUGCUCUCUGAAGUGUUGUAGCUAGUAUCGGGCAGGGGCAGCUCUCCCAUCUGCCUCAGAGGUAUCUCUCACCCACCCAUGCAGAUACAUGAUAGAUGAGUAAUGGGGACAGCUCUUCCAUUUUAAAAACUUAGGGGCUGGCUCACCCACACUUCCACCCAUGGGGUUGGCUCUAUUGUGCUGCCUAGGAGUGGUGCAGGGCCUGCUCUCCUGAGUAUUGCAGCUGGUGGGGGGACAGGUGCAGUUCUCCUGCCCUUAUGAUCUCAGGGCCAGCUCUCCCCAACCAAGAUGGGAUAAUUUUUAAUAGUUCUGGAGUGAGAAGUAUAAAUGGAGCCAAAAGAACCCAAAUCUUAUUCUUUUCUCUGUGUUUAUUACCUCUACAUUGUCAGUAAAUUAUUUCUUGUUAACACACACACACACACACACACACACACACACACACGAGUGCACCCUUAAUUAAUAUACAGGAUCGUGAAAUUUACUGUGUGCUAUCUCCUUUUCACAAUAACAAGCUUACAGUGCAGAUACUAACAAUAUUCAUACUUUGUAGAUGAGGAAACUGAGUUUAUAGCUGUUAUAUAUCUUCUCUGAGAGCACGCUCCAACAAAUCGAAUGGACAGAAUUUCAAAUUAGGUCUGUCUGUUAUUAAAAACCUGAGAUUCUAAUCCCAUGUAUAACAUACUAGAAGUCUUAACAUAAGAGUAAAUGGAACUAUUUCUAGGAUAAUGACAGACAUAUAAACACUCACAUAAAAACAUCACAGCUACAAUCUUCAUAUGAAUAUUCAGUUGUGUAAGAAAGCAAUGGUUUCCGUUUGGUUUAAAUAACAAGAAAUUUAAAUACUUAUCUAGCCUUGCCAUCGGGAAAUUUGUUUUGAUUCACUGUUUGGGCUCAAGCACUCUGUUGUUACAGUAUGAUGUGUGGCUCCUAUGCUGUUCCAUUGGAUUGGGACACUCACUUCAGGUUUUCAGCCUCAUCCCUACUGGUUUCUACUGAGAAGCCUCAUCUUAAUGUCAGCAACAUUACUUCAGGUCCAGUAGAUCUAAUAUAUUUGAGGGACAGAAAUCUGUUCUGGGUAGAUUCUACAUCCCUUAUUCAUUCAUUUCACUUGUACUAAAUACCCUUGAAGUAUGAAAUAUCUUCCUAGAUGUUGAGAAAAAAAUACAGUCACUGAACACAUUUUCUGCUCUCUCCUAGAGUCUAGUCCAUCUUGAUGUGCAUUGAAGUGAUGUAACGAAUCAUUAUACAGAAAUCUUUUUUCCUCUUUUAAAAUAUUUAAAAAAAAUUUAUAUGUAAAUGAUUAUUAUCUUUGUCCCUCGAUAUUCAAGAGGAUUGGAUCUAGAUUACAUAUAGAUUCCAGAAUUGAUGGAUAAUACUCAAGAUAUCAAAUGGCAUCAUAUUUGAGUUCAACAUCUGUUCAGCCUCACAUCCUCUGUAAUGCUUUAACCUUUAGAUUAUUACAGUACCUACGACAUAUGACCACUAUGCAAAUAGUUAUAUUAUGUACGGAAUAAUUACAUGAAAAAGUCUGUUCAUGUUUGGCACACAGUUUUAACCCAUAGUUUUGAUCUGAGGUCACUCAGUAUACAGAUGUACGGUGCCUGGAUGUAAAAGACUGACUAUGUUUUGUUUCAUAGCCUGCACAUCUCUCAAAUGACUCUGAGCUUACAGCUCUGUUCUUCCUUUAAAGUUGCAAUUUUAAAAUAACCCAAGUACCCUUUUCUGCAUAUUUUGGAAGCUGAAAGAGCAUGUGUGAAUUCCCCUGACCCACUAAGCCACAGCAAUCCCUUCAGAGGCUUCAUAGGCACACCAGAACAUUAAUAUUUCCUAGAGGGAGCAAUGUUUCUUGAUAUCUCAUUCUCCCCCACUGUGAAUAUAUGGAGACCUAUAAAUGUCUCCUUUAGUAACUCCCAACUUGAAAAAAAUUGUCUAGGAGUUUUUUGAAAUUCCUAUCUUUUGCCCCAAAUAAGAAGGACGUGAUCAUGCCUUUGAUCUCGUAUCUAAGCCACUACUCAGUUCAUUAAAUUAUUAGUUAACUAAGCACAAUGAUGGCUUUGAAGAUGAAAAGAUGUUAUUUCUUCUCAGCUCAAAAGUACUCUGUGGGGUUAGGGGCAAACAAGCUCCUGUGUUCCGGGGACAGAGAAACAAAGGCAGUUACAGCUCUCAGAGUACCACCCUAAAGGCUACAAAAAAAAUGCAUUAUCAAAAGAAGUCUUUAGGAGUGGUUGAUGAAUUAGUAAGUGGGUGUCUCUCUCUCUCUCUCUCUUUUUUUUUUUUUUUUUUGCUUUUGUUGGUGUAUUUUUUCCCCCAACAUAAUACUUUUAUUAUUUGGGACUUUCAUACAAUUACCUGAUUACAAUUGACCUCCAGGAUCUAUCCUAUACUCUUGUUCCCACCCCGAAAGGAAAUAGAAGGGAUUGGCCACUGGGAGUUUGACCAUGUUCUAAUAAGUAUAUGGACAACAAAAAUUGGAUUAGGUAUCUUUAAAAUAUGUUAUCAGUUUAGUCUUGGUGGCUUUUUAAAGUUUUUUUUUUGUAUCAAUGAAGAAAAGGAAACUAAUCCUAUUUUUCCAAAACGUUUCUAAACCUUUUAAUAUUUGUAUAGUGGCUGGUGUUUUUAAUUUAGUGAAAAAGUCAUUCAAUUUAAUACUUAACUUCUAGAUUUACUGAGACGGUACUUAAUAUUAGAAAAACUGUUUUGGUUCAUUACAUUUUUUAAGAGGGUCUAAACUUUAAUCAGUGAGAAUUCACUCAAGCUUCUAGCUGCAGGAGCAGGCUAUUUUUAAGUAAUGUGACAACUUGAAAAUUUUAAAGCUCUUAUUCACAGUUUUUCAUGAGUGCCUGUGAAGUUUUGCAUUUUUCUAAUGAGAUAGUGCUUAUAAAUAGAAGUUCAUAAGCUCUAUAAGAUAUGUCUCAGAAAUAAAUUUUUGAGUCCGAGUUUGGUUUCUAUUUAGUAUUUUAGAGAUUAUUUUGAAAAGUAGCAUCAAAGCUUAUGUUUUUUAAGAGUUUUAGGAUUGGCUAGUCUUCUGUGUUAUUUUGUAAUCAUUCUUAAGUCAGUAUCUUGAGCAAAGAAAUGAUGAAAAAGUCUAAUAUCAUGCUAAUAUUGUUUAUAUCAGUAGUUCUCAACCUUCCUAAUGCUGUGACCCUUUAUAAUACAGUUCUUCAUGUUGUGGUCAUCCUCAGCCAUAAAAUUAUUUCCAUUGCUACUUCAUAACUGUAAUUUUGCUACUUUUAUGAAUUUUAAUGUAAAUAUUUUUGGAGAUAGAGGUUGCCAAAGGGGCCACAACCCACAAGUUGAGAAUCACUAAUUGAAAUAUAAUGUAGUAUUACAUGAUUGACAAGGGAAUCUUUAAUGAUUCUAUGAAUGAUCAAGAAAAGGAAGAGAAAAUACAGAGUCAGAAAUAGUGUCCAAAUUGGCAUUGUAUAGAUAAGCCUGGCAAAGCUGAGCCCAGACAAUGACGGCACCAUCAAAACACAAGACCACGAAGCAAUUAGCACUGAACAGAACAGCAAACAGUUAAAACUCACUUAAAAACAGCUAUCCUCAUGUUGAUGAGAGUAGAAUAAAAAUUCUUUUACUGAAAUUGAAAUUGGCAUAGCCCUUCUGGAAAAGAGGGUCAAAUGUGUCAACAAAACUAUGUUGUCAUUCAUGGUCUUUCAUUCACCAGUACUGCUUUUAAAGGGCAGACAUCUAGAUGAAAAAUAAGUCAGAGUGUUUGAGUCUAGAGUCUAUCUGUAGCCAUAAUUAGAAUUUGAGGAUAUAAAUGCUCAUUUGUGCCCUUAUUAGAGCCGAGAAAGUAAAAAUCCAGGAGAGUUAAGUACUUUUCCAGAAGUCCACAAGUAUCGGUGACAUGCCUGUAUCUGAUCUUUUGGAUUUCAACAGUAUACAUAUGGCUUAUCUUGAAAAGUAGAAAAUUUUGGCUGAAUGAUAGAUUUAUUUUAGGCUCUGGACCUACAAAGACAAUAAAACCUAAUAUUUACUGAACAUUUCCUGUGCGCAAACUUUUUCAUACGUGGAUUAUGUGAUCUGAUAGGAACAACCCUUUGGUGUCCUGUGUUUUUCAACAAGGAGACAGAGAAAUUCUCUAAAUGUCAGCAGUCUGAACAAUUGUUUUCCUGAGUUGCAGUUCUUAUCCACUCCAUUGGAUUCUCCAUGUGUGAGCUCUAGUCCUCAAAAAGCUCACAGAGCAUUUACAAGGAGACAGUGUUGUUAUGGUUCAGAACAUAUGAAUAACAUACCACGGGAACACAGGGGAGGACACCAUCAUUAUUAAUACUGCUGCGAUUUGUUUCUCCUAGUGCUGACAGGGUUUAUAAGAGGGUUCUCAAUAAUAACUCCAUCUCUAAGGUUUAUUUCUUUUGGAGUUUUCAGCUUUGGAUAAUCACAGGAACUGGGGAGAAGAUUCAGUGGGUAAAGUAUGAAGGAUCCAGGAAUAUAGAAAAAUAAAAUUAUAAGCUUAAGAGGUGAAAACUGACAGUCAUCAGCUCUAAAGGUUAACUGCUAACAAUGGCUCUCUGCUUAUAGCCUGCUCCUCUGUCAACAGCCAGGGGUUAACUUUUAACCCCCUUGCCCCUUAUAGCCAAUAACUGCCUGGACCAAAGUUAACUACAUGACUCCUAACAUGCACUCUGUGCCUAAUGCCUUCCCCCUUACUAUAAAAAGGGACUCAUAACCCCCCCCCCCCAUCCAACUGUCACAGUCUUAAAAUCCAACUCUGGCUGUGGUCUCAGCUAGCUGAUAAGCUUUUG